GAAAGCAGCACACAAACGAACGGGAUCAACGGAGAGAAAUUCUACCCGACCUGAAACAAAUGGCAUGUUUCUAACAGUUACAUGACCAGAGACGUUACAAACCCAGGAUGGAAUUCAACUCGCAGAGGCUGACCAGAUUGAAAUAGCCUCCAUAGAGCUAACAAGUGGUCAGACCCUGUAGGACUAAACGGAGCCCAGUGAGAGCAUUAUGUGGUCCCAGCAAAAGAGCCCCGCGUGCCGCCAUGAUGU